UGAGCCGGUGAGCGGGGGCCGGACGCCUGGGCCCCUCCCGGAUGCCUGGGCCCCUCCCGGACACCUGGGCCCCUGCCGGACGCCUGGGCCCUUCCUGGACACUUGGGACCUUCCCGGACGCCUGGGCCCCUCCUGCCACGUCUGCCCCCCCCCCCGGCGCUGCCCUCUGACCUUUGACCCCGGCGCCGCCAUGGUGCCCCAGGACGCCGCGACCCCCGACCCCCCCUCGGGGGAGGAAGAGGCCGAGCCGCCGCCCCGGAGCGACACCGACGCGGCCGCGCUGCAGCUGCAGGGCCUGAGCCUGCAGGACGAGGCCCCGCGCGAGGAGCAGCUGCAGCGUCGCCGCCCCGAGGCCCCGAGCGAGAGCCGGAGGCAGGAGGCCGUGGGGCAGCUGGAGGGGACCCUGCGCUGCCUCGAGGACCUCGAGUUCCUGCGGCUGGAGCGCGAGAGCCGCCGGCCGGAGCCAUCGGAGACCUCGGGGACCUCGGGGACGUCGGUGACGUUGGGGACAUCGGUGACGUCGGUGACGUCGGGGACAUCGGGGACAUCGGUGACGUCAGCGGUGGCCCCGGGCCUGGGUGGCCGCUCCCAGCACCAGGACGAGACCCUCCUGGCCCAGACGAGCCGCCCCCCCGGGGGGGCAGUGGGGAGCCCCCCCCCAACAGCAGCCAGGAGCUCACCAAGCUGCUGUUCAGGCACCGCUCGGCGCGGGAGCUCAUCGUCCUGGGCCCCGACCAGCGCGACCCGGCCUGCGUCUUCGCCCUGCGCAGCUCCGUCCAGGGCGCCUUCGGGCUGCAGCGGGCCGGGAGCCUCCCGCGGCGCCGGGGGGAGCGGGGAGCCCCCCCCCCCCGCCCGGCCCCCCGGCCCCGCUCCCACCACGGCACCGGCCUCCUGGCCCUGCCGCUGCCCCCCCCCACGGCGCUGCCCCCCGACGCCUACAGCGCCUGCCUCCACCUGGCCGAGAUGGAGCGACGGGUGCGGGAGGCCCUGGCGGAGCGGGAGCGGCUGCUGCAGGCCCGGGAGGCCCGACGAGCGGCCAAAGCGCAGCCCCCCCCGCCCCCCCCGGAGCCGCCGGCGCCCCCCGCCCCCGAGGCGGCGCUGGACCUGCGGCGGCUGUUGCGGGCGCGGGGGCACAGCCCCGAGACGUGCGGGGACGUGCGGGUGACGGCGGGCGCCUGCCGGGGGCCCCUCACCAAGAUGGGGGGUCGCAUCAAGACCUGGCGCCGACGGUGGUUCCUGCUCGACCGCCCCCGCCGACUGUUGGCCUACUACGGCGACAAGGAGGAGACGAAGCUCAAGGGCGUCAUCUACUUCCAGGCCAUCGAGGAGGUCUACUACGACCACGGGCGGGCGGCCUGCAAG